ensembl:lncRNA
AAAGAAUCCGCCUGCAAUGUGGGAGACCUGGGUUCGAUCCCUGGAUUGGGAAGACCCCUGGGUGCAAGGCUCCCCACUCCAGUAUUCUGGCCUGGAGAAUUCCAAGGACUGUAUAGUUCAUGGGGUUGCAAAGAGUCGGAAACGACUGAGAGACUGAGCGACUGCGUUGAUUUACAACGUUAUGAGGACCUCAGUCUCCGCGCGCCAAGCCAGGACUCAUGGAAAACGGCAGAGGAUGUGUUAGACCACCAGAGGGCGCUCCGGCACCGCAGGAGCGAGGAAAGCCAGUCUUGCAGCGGAAGUGAAACCGAUCAAGUGUUGCCUGUAAUCAGAUGCAUCAGGGUCUUUUCCAAUGACUCAGCUCUUCGCAUCAGGGGGCCAAAGUAUUAGAACUCCGUGGUACUUGGAGCAGUCUCAAGGCAGAGGGAGAUCUCGGCAUGCAAGAGCCCGCACAGGUCUCAGAUUUGCAUAGAAAACUUGGCAAGAUCCUGUAAGUUUCUGUCCUGAAACUGCCUCCCCCAGACUCCCACCCAGGAACAGACUGAGAGCGACCCCAGGGUGAGAGCCCCCGGGGCCAGCACAGACUCUCACUCUCCAGUUCAUCUGGGAAAUGACGCAUCAUUCUGGAAACCUCCAAGGAUCCUCAUUCCAGGAGAGGAACUGGGCCUGGUGGCAGCCCCGCAGCAGCUCCUGACCCGCCGGGGUGGAUGCAGCCUGACUCAGAUGCCAAAUCCCAGAGAGAGAUGCCGGAGGACCCAUGUCUGGAGAUAAGGACCCUUGGCUCCAAGCUCUGGCCUUCCUUCCUGCUGCCUGUUUGGCAGGUCAGCAAUCACUGAUUGAU